rnacentral:rRNA from 1 species
UACGUAGGGUGCGAGCGUUAAUCGGAAUUACUGGGCGUAAAGCGUGCGCAGGCGGUUCGUUAAGUCAGAUGUGAAAGCCCCGGGCUCAACCUGGGAACUGCAUUUGAAACUGGCGGGCUUGAGUGUGGCAGAGGGGGGUGGAAUUCCGUGUGUAGCAGUGAAAUGCGUAGAGAUGCGGAGGAACACCGAUGGCGAAGGCAGCCCCCUGGGCCAACACUGACGCUCAGGCACGAAAGCGUGGGGAGCAAACAGG